CCUUAUGAUUGAGCAAAGAAAGUGGUUUUUUGUGAUGGAACCUUCAAUGGGGAAGAAGCUGUGAA
rnacentral:pre_miRNA from 1 species